AUGAACGCUAGCUACAGGCUUAACACAUGCAAGUCGAGGGGCAGCAUUGGGAUAGCUUGCUAUCCAGAUGGCGACCGGCGCACGGGUGAGUAACGCGUAUCCAACCUUCCCUAUAGUAGAGAAUAGCCCGGCGAAAGUCGGAUUAAUGCUCUAUGUUGUGUUUUGAGGACAUCUGACGAACACCAAAGGUUCACCGCUAUAGGAUGGGGAUGCGUCUGAUUAGCUUGUUGGCGGGGUAACGGCCCACCAAGGCGACGAUCAGUAGGGGUUCUGAGAGGAAGGUCCCCCACAUUGGUACUGAGACACGGACCAAACUCCUACGGGAGGCAGCAGUGAGGAAUAUUGGUCAAUGGGCGAGAGCCUGAACCAGCCAAGUAGCGUGCAGGAUUGACUGCCCUAUGGGUUGUAAACUGCUUUUAUCAGGGAAUAAAGUGCGGCACGUGUGCCGUUUUGUAUGUACCUGAUGAAUAAGGACCGGCUAAUUCCGUGCCAGCAGCUGC
rnacentral:rRNA from 1 species